CCUACGGGAGGCAGCAGUGGGGAAUAUUGCUCAAUGGGGGAAACCCUGAUCCAGCGACGCCGCGUGAGUGAAGACGUAUUUCGGUAUGUAAAGCUCUAUCAGCAGGGAAGAAAAUGACGGUACCUGAGUAAGAAGCCACGGCUAACUACGUGCCAGCAGCCGCGGUAAUACGUAGGGGGCAAGCGUUAUCCGGAUUUACUGGGUGUAAAGGGAGCGUAGACGGCAGCACAAGUCUGGAGUGAAAUGCCGGGGCUUAACCCCGGAAGUGCUUUGGAAACUGUGCAGCUAGAGUGCAGGAGAGGUAAGUGGAAUUCCUGGUGUAGCGGUGAAAUGCGUAGAUAUUAGGAGGAACACCAGUGGCGAAGGCGGCUUACUGGACUGUAACUGACGUUGAGGCUCGAAAGCGUGGGGAGCAAACAGGAUUAGAUACCCCAGUAGUC
rnacentral:rRNA from 1 species